rnacentral:misc_RNA from 1 species
AAGAGUUACCUUUUUAAACUACUAUUAACCUUAUUUCACUAGACCUAUUUUAUUUAUAUAUUUUUUGUUAUGUGGCUUUUUUAUGGGUCUAAAGCUUUAUAUCUAGUUUUGAGAGAACAAUAUUUUUUUCCUCUCAUUUGUUCUUUGAAAACUGAAAAUGUAAAUUUUUUGAUAUUUACAACGACAUCAAAAUUAAAUUAAAUGGUUAAUUUGUUUUGAUUUCAUCGAGAAAAUCAUAUUAAUUAAUGAUUCAUUGAAAUGUCUUAAAAUACACAUCAUAACAAACUAUAACAAUAGGAAAAUACUUUUUAAAUAAGGA